GUGAUUCUCCUACCUAAUCCUCCUGAGUAGCUGGGAUUACAGUGGUCUUAUCCUACUGCUCUAGAAGAAAGCUCAAGAUACCAGUUUGAUGGACAAUGAACUAAGCCCAGAAGAAAUCUCUCUCCAAGCCUAUCUUCUUGUUGCUGUCCUAUCUGUAUACUUGUUGGACACCUACUCUAUGCCGGACACUAUGCCAGGCUGUCCAAGCAUGGCUCCAGCAUCUGCUCCUGGUGAGGA